rnacentral:rRNA from 1 species
UACGUAGGCAGCAAGCGUUGUUCGGAGUUACUGGGCGUAAAGGGUGUGUAGGCGGUUCUUUUAAGUUUGGUGUGAAAUCUCCCGGCUCAACCGGGAGGGUGCGCCGAAAACUGAAGGGCUAGAGUGCGGGAGAGGAGAGUGGAAUUCCUGGUGUAGCGGUGAAAUGCGUAGAUAUCAGGAGGAACACCGGUGGUGUAAACGGCUCUCUGGACCGUAACUGACGCUGAGACACGAAAGCGUGGGUAGCAAACAGG